rnacentral:rRNA from 1 species
UACGAGGGGGGCGAGCGUUGUUCGGAAUUAUUGGGCGUAAAGGGUGCGUAGGCGGUUUGGUAAGUCUUAUGUGAAAUCUACAGGCUCAACUUGUAGUCUGCAUGAGAAACUGCCGGGCUUGAGUAUGGGAGAGGUGAGUGGAAUUCCUGGUGUAGCGGUGAAAUGCGUAGAUAUCACUUGGAACGCCAAUGGUGAUAACAGAUAGCUGGGGUUGUGCUGACACUGAGACACGAAAGCCAGGGGAGCAAACGGG